UUUACCAGCUGUAUAAUACUCCUUUGGAUACACCACAUUUUGUCUGUUCAUCAGUUGAUGGACAUCUGGGUUAUUUCCAUUUGGGGGCUGUGAUGAAUGCUGUGAACAUGUCUGUACAAGUUUUUGGGGAGACAGGCUUUCAGUUUUCUUGGGCAUAUACCGAAGAGGAGAAUCACUGGGCCAGAUGGCAACUCUUCUGUUUAACCUUUUGAAGAACUGCCAGACUGUCUUCUCCAGCAGGAGGUGUCUAAGGGCUCCAGUUUCUCAUUCCCUACAACACUUGCUAUUAUCUGCCGCUUUGAUUAUCACCUUCCUGGCGGGUGUGAAGUGGUCUCUCAUUCUGGUUUUCAUUUGCACUUCCCUGAUGGCUGAUGAUGUUGAGCAUUCUUUCAUGUGCUGAUGGGCCGUUUUGAUAUCCUCUCUGGAGCUGUCUAUUCAGAUCCUUUACCAAUUUUUUUUUUUUGAAAACUGGGUUAUCUUUUUAUUGUUAAGUCAUAGGGGUUCUUUAUAUAUGUUCUAGAGUCCCUUAUCAGAUCUAGGAUCUCCAUAUAGCUCCAAUUCUUGGGGCUGCCUUCCCACUUUCGUGAUGGGAUAAGUGGACUUG